rnacentral:rRNA from 1 species
CGCGGCCUAUCAGCUUGUUGGUGAGGUAAUGGCUCACCAAAGCGACGACGGGUAGCCGGCCUGAGAGGGUGACCGGCCACACUGGGACUGAGACACGGCCCAGACUCCUACGGGAGGCAGCAGUGGGGAAUAUUGCACAAUGGGCGAAAGCCUGAUGCAGCGACGCCGCGUGAGGGAUGACGGCCUUCGGGUUGUAAACCUCUUUCAGCAGGGAAGAAGCGAAAGUGACGGUACCUGCAGAAGAAGCGCCGGCUAACUACGUGCCAGCAGCCGCGGUAAUACGUAGGGCGCAAGCGUUGUCCGGAAUUAUUGGGCGUAAAGAGCUCGUAGGCGGUUUGUCGCGUCUGCUGUGAAAGCCCGGGGCUCAACCCCGGGUCUGCAGUGGGUACGGGCAGACUAGAGUGCAGUAGGGGAGACUGGAAUUCCUGGUGUAGCGGUGAAAUGCGCAGAUAUCAGGAGGAACACCGAUGGCGAAGGCAGGUCUCUGGGCUGUAACUGACGCUGAGGAGCGAAAGCAUGGGGAGCGAACAGGAUUAGAUACCCUGGUAGUCCAUGCCGUAAACGUUGGGCACUAGGUGUGGGGGACAUUCCACGUUUUCCGCGCCGUAGCUAACGCAUUAAGUGCCCCGCCUGGGGAGUACGG